CGAGCUUGUUUGUGGAGGUUCCUUUGCCUUUGACAGGUUUCCAAGGCUGAAAUUGGGGUAGGGGUGUGACAGAGGACUAUCACCCAGGCCAGGCCUCACCUCUGCAUGCCCGCCAGGGGACAAGAUGCUGUGACAGCGCUCACAUUUCAGGCAGAAACGGUGCCAGUUCUUGCCUAAGGAGCUCACCUUCUCAGCUGUGGGGAACAAGGUCCCAGCCUUACCAAAGUAAACGGGUUGCUGACAA